UACGAAGGGGGCUAGCGUUGUUCGGAAUUACUGGGCGUAAAGCGCACGUAGGCGGAUCGAUCAGUCAGGGGUGAAAUCCCAGAGCUCAACUCUGGAACUGCCUUUGAUACUGUCGGUCUAGAGUAUGGAAGAGUGAGUGGAAUUCCGAGUGUAGAGGUAGAAAUUCGUAGAUAUUCGGAGGAACACCAGUGGCGAAGGCGGCUCACUGGUCCAUUACUGGACGC
rnacentral:rRNA from 1 species